CUCUGGUUUCUCUUCAAAUAGUAUAAAUCUUUUGCCUUUUACUAGAGAUUACCAUAAAGAGGAAGAGUUAUGAG
rnacentral:snRNA from 1 species